GUGAGGAAUUUUCGGCAAUGGGGGCAACCCUGACCGAGCAACGCCGCGUGCAGGAGGACGGUCUUCGGAUUGUAAACUGCUUUUCCCAGGGACGAGCAAGGACGGUACCUGGGGAAUAAGCCCCGGCUAACUACGUGCCAGCAGCCGCGGUAAUACGUAGGGGACGAGCGUUGUCCGGAGUUACUGGGCGUAAAGCGCCCGCAGGCGGUCUUCUAAGUUUGAGGUGACAGCGCCCGGCUUAACCGGGCGAGUGGCUCAAAGACUGGGGGACUGGAGGGCCAGAGAGGGACACGGAAUUCCGGGUGUAGUGGUGAAAUGCGUAGAUAUCCGGAGGAACACCGAAGGCGCAGGCAGUGUCCUGGCUGGUACCUGACGCUCGGGGGCGAAAGCUAGGGGAGCGAACGGGAUUAGAUACCCCGGUAGUCC
rnacentral:rRNA from 1 species